UACGAAGGGGGCUAGCGUUGUUCGGAAUCACUGGGCGUAAAGCGUACGUAGGCGGACCGUUAAGUCGGGGGUGAAAUCCCAGGGCUCAACCCUGGAACUGCCUUCGAUACUGGCGGUCUGGAGUCCGGGAGAGGUGAGUGGAACUCCUAGUGUAGAGGUGAAAUUCGUAGAUAUUAGGAAGAACACCAGUGGCGAAGGCGGCUCACUGGCCCGGUACUGACGCUGAGGUACGAAAGCGUGGGGAGCAAAC
rnacentral:rRNA from 1 species